AGAGUUGAACACUGGAUGACUGACAGCUGUCCUUCAUGACAACAGAAGCCACAGAAAUCCUCCUCUUCAUCAAAAACAUGACUUUGACCUCCGUCCUCAUCUGGACUCUCCUCUGCUGCUGCUUCACAGAGUCCAGAGGUCAGGUCACAGUGACUCAGCCUGGAGCAGUGAGCUCUGCUCUGGGAGGCUCCAUCACCUUCAGCUGUAGGACCAGUCAGCAGGUUUAUGGUGGGAGCUACUUGCACUGGUACCAACAGAGAGAUGGAGAAACUCCUAAACUGCUCAUUUAUAUAACUAGCACUCGAGCAUCAGGGAUUCCAGAUCGUUUUUCAGGCAGUGGAUCAAACUCUGACUUCACUCUGACCAUCAGUGGAGUUCAGGCUGAAGAUGCAGCAGUUUACUACUGUCAGAGUUAUCAUGAGAUCAACAGUCAGAGUGUGUUCACACAGUGAAAAAGCGUCGUACAUAAACCUCCCUCAGUCAGACUGAACAGAAACUGAAGUGACUGCUGCAGCUGGAAGCUACUGCAGAGACUGAUACACUUCACUGAAGAUGUGUAACAAACACAAAAAAUCAUCUAAUUUUCUAUUUCCAAAGCAUAUUUUCAGGUCAGAACACAUACAGAAAUUCUUCUUUCCAAAUGUAAAUCUGCAGGCUGUUUGCUCAGCUCGAUGUCUAUCAAACAAACUCAACAUGCAUAUGACAAUAUGUGAGAAAACAUUUUUGCUUCCCUGGUAGGGCAUGCAUGGAACAUCACCUCAACUUCACUUUGUUGACUAAGGGGUGUAUGUUUGCACAUGGGCGGUAGGGACAUGUCCCUGCCAAAGAUAAUUGUCCUGACCUGAUCUGAGUGAACUCGCUCACAUUAUGCUCGUUCUCACAGUUCAGUGCCCAACAGUACAGGAAAGUCACAUCUUGUGUUGAUUCAGUGAAACACAGUUCACUUUCACAGUUUUUUUUCCCCGUUAAAGGGUUUUUUGGGGAGUUUUUCCUGAUCAGCUGUGAGGGUCAUAAGGACAGAGGGAUGUCGUAUGCUGUAAAGCCCUGUGAGGCAAAUUGUGAUUUGUGAUAUUGGGCUUUAUCAAUAAAAUUGAUUGAUUGAUUGAUUGAUUGAUUG